UUAGGUCUCUGGCAGGGGAAAUACCAUGAUCUUGCUUUUGAUUUUCUCAGGGCAAGGAAUAUCUAUUCUAGUCUGGAUAUGCUGACCCCUGGGAUUUCCUGGGAAAUCUCAACUCCAUAAUUUGUAGUAAUGGAGGAUGGCUUUUACACUUUCCCUUA
rnacentral:snRNA from 1 species